rnacentral:tRNA from 1 species
CAUUAGAUGACUGAAAGUAAGUACUGGUCUCUUAAACCAUUUAAUAGUGUUUAACGAACACUUCUAAUG